rnacentral:rRNA from 1 species
UGGACGAAAGUCUGACGGAGCAACGCCGCGUGAGUGAUGAAGGCUUUCGGGUCGUAAAACUCUGUUGUUAGGGAAGAACAAGUGCUAGUUGAAUAAGCUGGCACCUUGACGGUACCUAACCAGAAAGCCACGGCUAACUACGUGCCAGCAGCCGCGGUAAUACGUAGGUGGCAAGCGUUAUCCGGAAUUAUUGGGCGUAAAGCGCGCGCAGGUGGUUUCUUAAGUCUGAUGUGAAAGCCCACGGCUCAACCGUGGAGGGUCAUUGGAAACUGGGAGACUUGAGUGCAGAAGAGGAAAGUGGAAUUCCAUGUGUAGCGGUGAAAUGCGUAGAGAUAUGGAGGAACACCAGUGGCGAAGGCGACUUUCUGGUCUGUAACUGACACUGAGGCGCGAAAGCGUGGGGAGCAAACAGGAUUAGAUACCCUGGUAGUCCACGCCGUAAACGAUGAGUGCUAAGUGUUAGAGGGUUUCCGCCCUUUAGUGCUGAAGUUAACGCAUUAAGCACUCCGCCUGGGGAGUACGGCCGCAAGGCUG